GAUGAACGCUGGCGGUAUGCUUAACACAUGCAAGUCGAACGGUCACUUCGGUGAUAGUGGCGGACGGGUGAGUAACGCGUGAGAAUCUGUCUUCAGGUCGGGGACAACAGUUAGAAAUGACUGCUAAUACCGGAUGUGCCUUUGGGUGAAAGAUUUAUUGCCUGAAAAAGAGCUCGCGUCAGAUUAGCUAGUAGGUGGUGUAAGAGACUACCUAGGCUCCGAUCUGUAGCUGGUCUGAGAGGACGAGCAGCCACACUGGAGCUGGGACACGGUCCAGACUCCUACGGGAGGCAGGAGUGGGGGAUUGACCGAAAUGGGGGGAGGGCUGACGGAGCAAGACCGGGUGAGGGACGUAGUCUGUUGGGUCGUAAACCUCUUUUCUCAAGGAAGAUGAUGACGGUACUUGAGGAAUAAGCAUCGGCUAACUCUGUG
rnacentral:rRNA from 1 species